AGCCCAAGAGUAAGCUAUGUGAGGUUGGCGGCGAUGCUUAAAAAAGCAAUCGACUUACAAGGGUUUGAAAAAGGACUCGAUAUUAAAUCGAGAAAAAUAUGAUUUUUAUAAUUUCAAAAUGGUUUUGAAUGUAUGAUGAAAUUAAUAAAGAAGCAUGGACAUAAAAAAGAUAUUACAAGAAACAAAAACUAAAAGACAAUAAAAUAAUAAAAGAUAAAAGCUAAAAGAAAAUGAGAUAUUAAAAAAUACUAAAGAAAAAAUGAAAUACUAAAAAAACUAAAAAAUGCUACGUAUGAGUAUUGAACUCACUCCACCUAAGACUUAAAUACCACUCCUCUCCACCAAGCCACUUAACGACUAACUGUUAUUUAGUACUAAUUUUAAAUACAUAAACUAAAGGUAAAUUAAAAAAGAUUAAAAUAAAAACUUAAUAGAAAAAGAACCGUUAGUCUAUUGGCAAUAAAGCCCAGCCGCCUGGCUGUUGGACUUACCAAGGGGAAUAGAUUGGAAACCUAAAACAAUUAUUAACUAACUAAUUAAAAGAAUCUUUUUUCAUAAUGUUUUUCUCUUUAAAACUAAUUAUUCUAUUAAUACUAAAAAAAUAAAAAAAAAGAGCAACAAGAAAUGGAAUCGUCUCUUUCAAUCCCUCUUCUCUCGUGUCUUUCUCAGAAUCGCUCUCUCUCAGAAAACCCAAUCGCUCACUC
rnacentral:lncRNA from 1 species